GUGGAUUAGAUACCCUGGUAGUCCACGCCGUAAACGAUGGAUGCUAGCCGUUGGAUAGCUUGCUAUUCGGUGGCGCAGCUAACGCAUUAAGCAUCCCGCCUGGGGAGUACGGCCGCAAGGUUAAAACUCAAAGGAAUUGACGGGGGCCCGCACAAGCGGUGGAGCAUGUGGUUUAAUUCGACGCAACGCGAAGAACCUUACCAGCUCUUGACAUUCACUGAUCGCCUGGAGAGAUCCGGGAGUCCUAGCAAUAGGCAGUGGGACAGGUGCUGCAUGGUUGUCGCCAACU
rnacentral:rRNA from 1 species